UCUUAAUAUGAGAUGCUUCACACAAAUUGUGGUGCGAAUGUUUUACUGUAGCUGUACCCUACGCGUCUCCAAAAUUUGUCCUAACCGUUUCAGGGACCUUUUAAGGCAACAGUCGUUCACAUAUGGGAACACGU
rnacentral:lncRNA from 1 species